GUUCCCAUUUUAGUGCAUCAGUAAUCAAAUACUCACCACUUACCAUCAUACAAUGUCCUCAUGGAUGAUGCACUAGCGCUCUGAAUGGUUGCAAUGACAUUGAGGGGAAGGCCUGCGGCGUCCAAAUGAGCCUCUCACUGGCCAAGCCCAAAGAGCCAGACACUCUGAAUGAGGGUGAAGGAGCUCUCUGAAGAGUACUGUUUGUUGACAGGCUAGACAAGUCCGAACCAAAUGCACUUUGAAGAUGAAGUGGCGUAACAGAAGCUUUCGGUGACCGAGUUGCUAGUUCACGCUACAAACAAUUUAGCCACCUAGCCAUGACUCCUGUCCGAGAGCAAGCCUCUGGGGGUGAGAAGAGGUUUUAGACUGAUUCAAUGAUGUUGUUUCGUAUAUAAAGUAGGAGGAAGUACUGUAUGUCCGUGACUCAUAUGUCAGAUGACCAAACAAUGAUGGCAAGUGUGGUCGCAAGGGGGCAUGAGUUUUUUUUUCAACUGCAGUGUGAUAUCUCGUAAUGUUAGAAUGUUUUAUUAUUAAUUGUAUUGUUUUUCUAUAUAUUAUUAUUAUUAUUGUUUUCUUUUUUUAACUACAGACAGAAAUGGGUUACUGGGGACAAUUCAGGGACUCCAGCAAACCCUUCAGCAACAGUGUGAUUUGAGAGUGGAAAAUGAAAGGUUGAAAAAGUCAUUGCUUGACAUGAAGAAGAAUAAUGUAAAAAUCUUGGAGGUGAGUGCAUAUUCCAUACAUCAAUUUGGAUCAAUUCCUUUGGGCAUUUUCAAGUGUGUUUGUCAACAUAACCCCCUUAUGGGCAUAGGAUUGUCAUGCUCAAAAUGAAGGGCUUCAGGCUGAGAUGGCAGUUCUACAAGAAGACCACCAGAGGGAGCUAGAGGAAGCCCAACAAGAGACCCAGAGAAAAUGUGAGUGUUGGUCUGGUGACAGAUCAACCUUAAAGUAAUAAUAACAUUUAAAGUAACAC
rnacentral:lncRNA from 1 species